rnacentral:sRNA from 1 species
CCCCAACACCUAUAGAUGACAUCAUAUCCCAAAAUUGCAGCUUCACUAAAACUUGGCACAUAUAGAGAUGGAGAAAAGGAGAGAAACAAAAACAAGAAGAAAAACCUAAUGUAGUCCUCAGAGUCAUUAUUGUGCUUCAACAUAGCAACUUCAAACUGCUUUAGCAAUUGGAACGAUGAGUGUAAAAUCUCAUUGCAACUCAUCAUUGGACUACUAAACAAAACUCUAUCUAUAUCUGAACCAAUCUACCUACAAAGCAAACUUGUUAUCUUUGUAUCCAAAAUGAAGCCAGAUCAUGUGUUAAACAUCAGUACAUCACCAACAA